GAUGCAUUCUCCAUACAGCCAAACAAGCUUCUGGAAAGGCUGUGGAGAAGACAGGAAUCGUAUAAAUACAGGGAGAGCCACAUGCAGCCCUCAGGCACGGGGGCAGGAGGUGGGCAAACUGAGGCCCAGAGAUUAACCUAAUAGCCAAAUCACUUGAGGAGCUUAUAUCACAACAUCAGCCCCACAAGCUGGAACAGGCCUGCAGCAGCAUGGCAAGCUCAGAGAAAGCCUGGUGGGAAAAGCUGUGCAGCAUCUCCAGUCACAGCUGGCUGGGCACCUGGCUUGGUGGGUUUGUUACUGGCUGAGGUCAGUAACUCCAACACAAAGUCUCUGCAAACAGCAGCUGCUGAGAUUUUGCUGAGAGGUCUGUUUUGGGGGACUCUCCUCCUUUCCAGAC